rnacentral:misc_RNA from 1 species
CUCAAUUGCCUGCAGAGGCGACCCACGUGUAAAAGUCCAUCAGUAGAGAACCCAGAACACUUCUCAAUCUUCAAGACCUGUAGUACCCGGCCGCGAGACUUAGCGAGAAGCUCCAGAUCCGAAUCCUUCACAAUCAUGCGUCUAAAGUGAAGUGAUUUCAAGCAAUUAAACGAUUCGGCAAUUUCAUUAACCCAGGGAGUGACGAACCCUCCCCAGUCCUCUGGUAUCAAGUUAAACAUAGCAGCCCUGGGCUUCCCUUUCAGUUUCAAGGAUUCGAGGUGCUUGAAGCGACGUCGAAGCCGAUCUGGGCUCGUCGUAUAGCAUAAAGCUAUGGUUAUAUGCUUUCGUGUCAGGGCAUCAAGCUCAUACCAGCGGCGGCAAACGAGUGAAACGGCGUCGCGGUCCCGUGGGUCAUGGAUAUACGGCAUCACGCAACCCAAAACUACGUCGGACAUGCCGCUACUGCAACUUAUUCUGCUGCUUUUAUUGCUCUGAUUCUCCUCUUCCAUCACUCAACAAGUAAAAGAAAGCAAACAAAAUAGUUGACUAUAAAUUUACAGAAUUCAAGCUACUCUUAUCGAAACUGAUCGAUCAAAACUUUCAAAAUCUCAGCUUCCUACAAAUCUGUUUCACGGAUUUGAAGCUUCUCUACUAAUUUAAUAAACAAAAAAAAAAACUCAAAAAUACGAAACUU